rnacentral:lncRNA from 1 species
GUGAGAAAACAACCCUAGGGCCCUCGGGGGGCCAAAAAAUCAUGAAAAAACGGAGCUUACCGGCGGCGGUGCUCUCGGGUGCGGCGGCUCUCCGGUGAGGUUCGUGUUUUGGUGAUUCAGCUCCGGUCAACCUGUAGAGAAAAGAAUGGUGAUCACGGUGAUAUAAAAAUUGCAUCAAACGGAGGCCGGGAAGGGCCUCAUCGGAGGCAAAA